GAAGUAUCCUAAAAAGAAGAAAAUUUGAUUCGAAGUAAACAAUUGUGAAAGUGCUUAUUGAAGACCAACUUUAUGAAACUAGAAAAAAUAAGGCCAAGAAAAACAGAAAAAAAUGUGAAAAGAGCAAGAAGAAAAUAUAGAUGGAGAAGAAAAUUAUGUUAACGAAUAAAGAAGAAGCAUACGUGGAUAUAACUAGAAAAAGUUGAAAAUAUCACACUAUGAUAAAAAGAAUGAAAAAAAAAAACUUGCUGAGAAAAUAUGCAUAUCGAAAUGAUUAGUUUCAAUGGAUCACAAGAGGCGUCUCUUUUUUCUAUCAAAAGUUUCUAAUGUUAACCAAUUUUUGAUACACCACCUAGUAUGAUUUGUUGCUUUAGGCAGAGAUGAAUAAUAAGUGCAAACGUAAAAGUUCUUCUAAACAAAAUAUGUGUUUACCAAGCCGGAUGAGGCAAGCCACAUUAAAAUAAACGCCCGAAGCGAAAAGAUAGUGAAAUGCAACGCAACUGAGGAAGAGUGCGAAACAAGUGAUUAGUAGUGAUAAGAAGAAUUGCUUCAAUCAGCGCUGCGGGGUGCAAAGUAUCCUCCAGGCAAGAAUGAACGACUCAACGUCACCGUCAUCGAUGGAAUCGCUGCUGGCCCUAAUGGGUGGCGAUUUUCCUGGUUUUGCUGCCGUCGCCGCCGGUAGUGGUGAUGGUUUUCCGCCGCAGCUGGUAGUGAACGAAACGCUGCGGGAUUUGUGCCACCAGCAGAACGAUACCCUGUUUCUGGAGCUGUCGUGUCCACCGUUGUUCGAUACGAUAUCGUGCUGGCCAAGGACACCGCCGGCCACAACGGCCGUGCUGCCGUGCUUUUCCGAGUUCAAGGGAGUGCAGUACGAUGCGACACAAAACGCCACCCGCUACUGCAACAUCGAUGGAACGUGGAACAGUUUCGCGAACUACGAUGCCUGCAAGCACCUGGAACUGCCAACAUCGGACGAAACGCUCGAAUCGUUCAUCGAAUUACCGAUAGUGAUCUAUUUUGUAGGAUAUACCAUAAGUUUACUGGCACUAUUCAGUGCCGUUACCGUGCUAGUUUAUUUUAAGGAGCUACGAUGUCUCAGGAAUACCAUUCACGUCAAUCUCUUCGUCACCUACAUCAUGUCGUCCGCCCUGUGGAUCAUCAUACUCUCUCAACAGGUGUUUAGUGGGCGCAAUUAUUUGACAGCUAAGCAGGGAGUGGUGGAUUGUAUAUUCCUGGUGACGUUAUUCCACUACUUUAGUACGACAAACUUCUUCUGGAUGUUGGUGGAAGGUCUAUAUCUCUACAUGCUGGUGGUGCAGACGUUCUCCGGUGAUUAUCUACGGUUUUGGAAGUAUUCCAUCAUCGGUUGGGGAGGUCCUUUAAUCUUUGUCGGAGCGUGGGCCAUUACCAAGUCCUUCUACCCGUACGACAUCAUGCCAGAGCAACCGAACAAGCUGGAAAUCGAGUGCUCCUGGAUGCGGGAAUCUCACAUUGACUGGAUUAUUCAGGGCCCGUCCUGUGCCGUGUUGGUAAUCAAUCUCAUCUUCCUGCUGCGAAUCAUGUGGGUUCUCAUCACCAAACUGCGGUCGGCCAAUACCGUCGAAACGCGGCAAUACCGGAAGGCAUCCAAGGCACUGUUGGUACUUAUUCCGCUGCUGGGCAUCACCUAUCUGGUGGUGAUUUACGGUCCACACGAGGGCGUUGGCAGCCGGAUCUUUGCGGUCACCCGGGCCGUGCUGUUGAGUACGCAGGGUUUAGUAGUAUCAUUACUGUACUGCUUCCUAAAUUACGAGGUACGAGGAACCCUCCGGUUACACUAUUACCGAUGGCGAGACGAGCGCAACAUUCGGCUCGGCAUCAUUUCCAAACAUCGAAGACCGACCAUCAGUGGAACUGAAAGUAUACGUAUUACCACUACGACAACCACCACAACUACCACAUCGGUGCCGUUGAUUUAAGUUUGAUUGUAUCAACCGCAACCGAACGACGACGACGAUCUACUGCGCCGAGGUCGGGGCAAACGCGAGCAGAAUGGCGAUUGAGGCGUUAAAAUAGUAUGAAUACAUGUCGACACAAACAACCACCCACUACCUAUACGACCAGGUUCCAGGUUUUUCUUUUAUAAAUCCGGCACAUAGCUGAUUUUUCUCAUUUCCCCCAAAUGAUCUCUACGUGAUGACAAAUUCAAUGACAACGGCGGUGUCGGUUCGUUGUCGGAGAUGACUGGCGACUAAUAGAGUGUCACCCUGGAGUACAGUGUCGUGAUAAUGAAAAGCUUGGGACCCCCCACCUCGAGGCAUCACCAUCACCAUCAUAACCACAAUCAUCACAACAAUCUCGGCAGCAACUGAACACUGUACCUACUAGAGGAUCAGAUGAACCAAGAGUCCAGCUUCGGGUCAAAUUGGACCUCCGGACCAGAGUUUAGGACCGAACCCAACCGGGGGGAAUUGUGCAACGAAAUAACUUUGUGUAGCUACGGUGAAUUACUGUUUGCAGCAAAGAGACGAAUGGAUGGGAGCGAGACAUUUGCUUGCUUGCUGCAAUUAAAUUGAAUUUCAAAACAAACAUCGUCGUCUCACGAUUGUAACUUUUAAUUCAAUUCUCCGACGGUGACGGUGACGACAGUGAUCUUUUGUGUGUGUGUGGACAAUAGUCUAGGAAUGAAGUUGAGACGUUGUGGAGUAUCAUCUAUCGGAGUGCGGAUGCUGCUUUUUCAAAUGGUAUGAUCACCGCUGAAAAUCGAAGUUUUGGGUAAUCUCCUCAACUUUGCUUGGUAUGGGUUUUUUACGAAAUUGUGUAUCUGGAUCUGUAAUGAAAUGCAAAAUUAUUUGACAUACGAUUUUUUUUUUCAGAAUUUAUGAGCAUUUUUUGUAAUUUUUGUCGUAGAUAACAUUAAGGGGAUAAAUAAAAUGAUCGGGACAGGCUACAAUUUUAUUUCAAACGAAAUUUUCAACUACAUAACUGAAGUGCGCGCAGUUUUAUUUGAUAGCCAUUUGAGAUGCGAUAGGAUUUUUGUUGUAAAAUUAUACGUAGAAUCUUUUUCUUUUCCUAUUCCUCAAAAAAUAUUUGACUAUCCCAUUGACUACCUGGCAUCUUGUAGAAGUCAGCGUUCUACAGAAAAAAUAUAUCAAAAAAGUCGAACGGUAUGGUUUAUGAAAAAUGGAAAUUAUAGGAUAAAUAACAUAGAUCCGCGAUGAAUUUUACUUUCAGUGUUUUUUUCGUUAGGUCCUUCAAAUAUCCUGCAAAAUCUUCAAAAACAUCAUUUCAGUUUUCGAGUUGAAAUUUUUGGAAGAAGGAUUUUUCGAAGAAAUGUAGUCAAAAAUGUCUUAUUUUUUGUGUUUUGGAUUAGAAUUAUUCAAUUAAGAAGUGAUCAUACCAAAAUGGAAAGCAGCAAACAAGUCAAUAUGUACACAACUAGCGCCAUACAAUUUGUAACAGUCAGACAGUCCGACAGCAGAGACGACGUGGAAUCUCAUCCCGAAUGAGUGGCCGCCUCCCCCGAGUGGGAGAUGUUUGCGCUUCAUUUGACGGUUGAAAUCGGCUCUGGUGAAAGAUCUAUCUAUGCUGCUGCAGCAUUGCGAUUUAGGUUUAAAUUUGCGGGAAGAAUCAUGCGGUGAUGCGGUUGUAAAUAUUUACACGUAUUCGAUUGAAGAGAGUUGGAAGUGAGCGAUGGACGUGUGUUUGAAUUGAGUUUCACCAGCAUGUCAGAAUAUGUGUAUGUGUUAAAUAGAAUGGGAUUUUGACAGGCAGGGUGAAUGUAACCGAAAUGUACAAUCGAUUUAUAUGUUAGGUUAGGUAGUAUAGUUCUUAAUUAUUCAAACGGGUUUAAAGAGAGACCAAACCAAAGCUUACGAAUAUUGAUGUGAAUGAAAAUGUCUUUUUGUAUAUAUUUGUAACAUGAAAUCGAAGAAUACAGCCAUAAGGUUAUUUGUAACGUCUUGAUGUAAAUAGUUGUUCUUAUUUUGAGAAAGAAAAAUCCAGACCCGUGAAAAGGGGUGCUUGAAUGCUUGAAAAUCUUCAAAGCUAAGCUGGCGAAUAUGGGUUGAAGUUUUCGGUAUGGGGCUGUCGCUCUCGAUUCUCGAUCAUGACUAAUGCUCUUCAGAACACGCUCAACACAUAACAUAAGUGGAACUCCAUGGUCAGAGCGAAGGAAAAAGUUGUAUCCUUUUCCAGCACUCGAAACUGUUAUAUCUAAUAUAAAAGGCGUCUAACUGUCAUUUAUUUUGGUAAACAAAAAAACAUCUGAUCCAACCAGUAUUCCAGUUUUGGCAAAUAAUACAGGAACGAAGAUUGGCAUCUGAGUUAUGCGCAAAACUAGCUGCUGGAAAUCCACUUAUUCAUUUUGUCAUAAAUUCAUUGAAAUCUUCGAAAUAACACAUCCACGUUUCACAUAUCGAUCUCCUUUCAUAUUAAAAGCCAUAAAACGUAUUUUCGACUUGAGUUCAUAAAGUUUUAUUACAAUUUAUGUCAUAUUUUUGAUCUCCACGUGCUGCCAGUCUAGAUCUAUGAGGCCUUUGUUUUACUUCACAGCAAUGAAAAAUGGUAUACAUGCUGAAAAAUAGUAUGGCAAUAAUGUUAUAAUGCAUUUGACAUUUCGAUGCCCUGUAUACCAGCGUACGAACUCGGAAAGGCAUCAACUUUUUGAGCCAGAGUUCCACUUAGGGUAAUUCAUGUAUUUUGGACAGGCUGAGGACAACAUUGAAAAAAUCGUCCCCUAGCUUCCUUAGUAAGCAAUUGAUUAUUUUGCAAAGUUACCAAUACGCUUAUAGUAUGAUCGUACUUUGCGUUCCUGGUGACAAAAACCUCAACGAAAGCAUUUUAUGCUAAGAAAAUCACAAUUUCCAAUCGCCUGUUAGAACAGCAUUUUGGACACCGAAUAUAUGUUUUGGACACCCUCAGGUAUAUAUAAUUUGGACAGGGCAAUUAUCUCAAUGUUUAGCCAUGAAUACUGCUAAAUCAUGGAAGUAUCAUAAAUUAACAAAUAUUUUCUUACAAAUAAUCAAAUUUCUCCGCUUAACAGGCAUCUAUUUCGAUAACUAUUACAGUUUUUGUUAUAAUCGAGGAAAUAUCGCCAGACCCACAGAAUACGCCUCAAAGUAUGCAAUCGCACUGCCUACCCAUGUAGUUUGUCAGAUGACCAAAUUUUAUUAACAGUAGAAACCAUGCAAUGUAUUUUGGACAUAUCCUAUUUUAAGCGUUCUAGAUGAAUGUUAAGAGAUUGGUUGCCUAAUGCUUCUUUAUUGAACAUGUUUCGUUGCAAAAAGGCUUUCAAAUUUCUUACAAUUAUUAAUUCAACCAUUUUGAGGUGAAUAUUGUAUGUGACUAUGAAGUGUAUGUCGUCUUGCAUACCUGUGCAUUUGAGGGGUUUUAGUGAAAUAAUUUACAUUUUCGAUAAUUUUGAAGUAAAUUUUUAAUUGUUAAGCGUAUUUUCAACGUGAGUCAUCAGAAUAGGGUCUAUUUGAUCCAAUAAUC